rnacentral:rRNA from 1 species
UACGUAGGGUGCGAGCGUUAAUCGGAAUUACUGGGCGUAAAGCGUGCGCAGGCGGUUCGCUAAGUUCGUUGUGAAAGCCCCGGGCUCAACCUGGGAACUGCAAUGGAAACUGGCGGGCUUGAGUGUGGCAGAGGGGGGUGGAAUUCCGCGUGUAGCAGUGAAAUGCGCAGAUAUCAGGAGGAACACCGAUGGCGAAGGCAGGUCUCGUGGGCCACUACUGACGCUGAGAAGACGAAAGCAUGGGGAGCGAACCGG